rnacentral:rRNA from 1 species
AUUGAACGCUGGCGGCAGGCCUAACACAUGCAAGUCGAACGGUAACAGGAAGCAGCUUGCUGCUUUGCUGACGAGUGGCGGACGGGUGAGUAAUGUCUGGGAAACUGCCUGAUGGUGGGGGAUAACUACUCGAAAGAGUAGCUAAUACCGCAUACGAUCUACGGAUGAAAGCGGGGGAUCGCAAGACCUCGCGCGGACGAAGCGGCCGAUGGCAGAUUAGGUAGUUGGUGGGAUAAAGGCUUACCAAGCCGACGAUCUGUAGCUGGUCUGAGAGGACGACCAGCCACACUGGGACUGAGACACGGCCCAG